UAAAGCGCAUGCAGGCGGCCUGUUAAGUCAGAUGUGAAAGCCCCGGGGCUUAAACCCUCGGAAUUGCAUUUUGAAACUGGCAGGCUAGAGUCUUGUAGAGGGGGUAGAAUUUCAGGUGUAGCGGUGAAAUGCGUAGAGAUCUGAAGGAAUACCAGUGGCGAAGGCGGCCCCCUGGACAAAGACUGACGCUCAGAUGCGAAAGCGUGGGGAGCAAACAGGAUUAGAUACCCUGGUAG
rnacentral:rRNA from 1 species